UACGGAGGGUGUGAGCGUUGUCCGGAAUCACUGGGCGUAAAGGGCGCGUAGGCGGCCUGAUAAGUAGGGGGUGAAAUCCUGCGGCUUAACCGCAGGGCUGCCUUCUAAACUGUCAGGCUUGAGCACAGUAGAGGCAGGUGGAAUUCCCGGUGUAGCGGUGGAAUGCGUAGAGAUCGGGAAGAACAUCAGUGGCGAAGGCGGCCUGCUGGGCUGUUGCUGACGCUGAGGCGCGAAAGCUAGGGGAGCAAACGGG
rnacentral:rRNA from 1 species